UGUAUGUUGCACCCAACACAAAUGGACUUUUAAAUUUUCCAACAUAUCAAGGAUAACUUCCAAGAAAUUGUAAUGAGAUUUUAGCUGAAGUAUUGUAUGCUUUACUGGACUAUUAGUAUCAAAUAUGAGCAAUAGACAUGCAAUAUUAGGGCCCAGUCUAUUGAUGUUGUCAAGGCGCGAUUGCAUUAUUAUGACACUCAGAUCUUCACUACUCCCCUGACUUCUCUCUCUAGAUUGUGACUCGAUUUAGGCAGCAUAAUCCCCAAUCAAAAUCCUACUACCAUUAUUGGACUUCAAUGGGCGCACAAAUUCCCUUUGUGACUUGGCGCCCCAUUUCCUUCGUGGACUUCCUCUAUACCUGAUUCCUCCAAUUUGUUCUCUUUUCCAUCAGAGUUUUUAUUGACCACCAAACAUUGUAGCCCCUUAUUUUUAUGCUUGAUUGGAUUCUUCUCCUGCCACCAAUGGUAUAAUCGUUUCGCUUAUUGUAUAUCCCCGCAAAGGAAUUCUGUAUUUGAAAUAGUAGAUUGUGGUAGAUUGACAUCAUUGCAUUUCCCACCAGCUGGGCCAGCUCCUUGUUUGAGUCAGCCCAUUGUGCUUAAAGCAUGCCAAUGACUCCAUUCCCCAAUUUAGAUCUUAAAUCCUCCUUCAAUAGCGAUUUUAGAAACCGAGAUUGGUUCACAAAUCUUUUUCCUUCAAUCGUCCAUGGUGAAGGGAAAAAUAUUUCCAGCAGCAAAUUCUUUGAUUGAAGCUUAACAAUAGAAAACUGCUGGAUAGCAAUUGGGAAUGUGGGAAGUGAUUGCACUAAAUACCUUGUUAUUGGAAUAAACUGAUGGAUCUUGUAUAGCAUUUUGUCCACGAAGAUUCGAUAACUGGUUGCACCCUCUUGCGAGUUUUUCAAUAAAUGAACCCGGCCAAGUAGAAUACUAUGCUUGGUAACCCCGCCAUAGAUCAAUAACUUACUUUCUUUUGUGCAAACUGCCCUUUUAUGGUCUUUAGCACAAUUAAUCAAAUGACAAAAUUAAUUAAAGAUCCCAACCUACCGCCAAUCUCCACGCCAUUGUCGUUGUUAACUACCUCUGCAUCUUUGCUGCCACCGACCCAUUCAAAUCCAUUGUCAACGAAUUUCCAAUCUUUCCAACUUGUUUUUCCUGUCCUGUAACACUCUUUUCUUCUGUAGUAAUACCUCGUGGUGUUGUAGUACCCGUUGCACUGGAUACUCGAAUUAGUUCCCCCCUUUAUUUGAAAUUUAGCAAGGGAAAAUUGUUUGAAAUUAGUGGAAUUUGGUUUUGGAAUUGAUGGAGCUGCUGAUUGCAGCAUAUUGGUGUUAACAGGGGAUUGAGACAAGCAAUCGGAUGGGUUCUAGGGUUGUAAACAAUUAUUUUUGGGUUAUCUUCCUUUUCCAAAUUCGGGCCCAUCCCUCCCGUGCUUUGUUAUUUGGAACUUUGCAGUCUAGUUGUUGGGCAACCUCUAUAACACAGUCCCGAGCAACUAAAUUUUAGUAACAUUUCUUCCACUAUAAUCCCUUGAAUCAACCCAUUAACCAAGCACUUCCCACCACCACCUACAUCACGCUCUGCAGCAGCAGCAGUAACAGACCUGGAUCGAAGAUCACCAUCUUCUUUCACUGCGUCUCGUCGCCUCAUUCUCAUCUGCUUCGGGAAAUUUUGCACAGUUGGAGUUAAAAUCUCAGGGUCCCGCGUGUAAUCUUUCUCUAUUUCCUCUGAUUUCUAUGCUGAAAUCUUCUUGAAAAUAUUAGCCUCCGACAACAGAUUAUUGGAGAAGAUCCUCUCCAAGCGGUACAGCCACCUGUCUUGAGUUAUCUCCACUAAAUAUUGGUGGUGACUGAACCUCCGAAACACUUCCAGAUCUAUCUCCCUCCAUAGCUUUGUUCAUGGUUGCUUUUGGAAAAAUAAGAGUUGCCAAAGUUUUCUGUGUAUCUUCCAUGGAUUGCAGCAUCUUUGUCAUGCUCUGUUUGAGGUGUUCCACUGGGAUCUCUAGGCCUGUUCCAAGUUCCAACUCUUCGAAGUACAAAAUGGAGGGUAGUGGUGCUACUAGUGACGCAUAGGGGACUGUUUUCUGAUGCGUACAAUGGAGGAUGGUGCUUUUAUAGAGUAUGAUUCUUUUUUCUUAUUUAACUUUGUUCACUUCUAUACCGCAUAUAUACUAGGAAAGGCCAGAAAGAUUACUUCCCUCUACAGCGACGUCCAUUCGGCAACAAUCAUAGAUGUAGAGCAGUGCAAAGCUUGCCAUAGCUAAAAUUUACAGGCAUAUGCCUUAGAACUGGAAGAGAAAAUCUUAAAGCUUAGAGAAAUGAACCAUGAGUUGCAGAAAAAACAGGAGGCUGGUGAAGGAAUUGCAUACCGAUUGAGGUACAAGGUGGACAAUGAGCGCUAGUACUAUGUAAAGAUGAACUACUUCCCAACGAUUUCAGUUCAAAACGAGGCUUGCAAAGAGCAUUCUUCUCCACUUGCUGAUAUGGUUGGAACCUGUUACAAAUCAACAGGAAAUGUGAUGCCCAAUUUCAUAGAAGUAAUGGAGGAGUUGUUUUUGAUGAUGUUGAUAGAAUGAAUGGCCAAUCAUUAUGUGGGCGUACAACUGUCACUUCAUGCCAGGUACAAUGAACAUGAUCAACUUGUCUUAGAGUUUGUGAUGUCAUCAAAUCACCAAGCUUCUCGAAAACAUCACGAGGGAUAUGUUAGCGUAGUAGCUUGAUGCGUUACAACUUUUGGGAUGGGUGGUGUCUUUGUCAAGCCUGAUGCCAUAAUUAAAGACUACCUGAAUGAUGUUGCGCCUCUCUUUGGUGGCUUCUUGACCAUUUUAGGGGUUUUUGAGUUUCCAGCUCUUCAAAGUACAAAAUGGAGGGUAGUUGUACUUCUAAUGAUGCAUAGGCGACUGCUUUCCGAUGCGUACAAUGGAGGAUGGUGCUCUUAUUGGGUAAGAUUCUUUUUUCUUAUUUAACUUUGUUCAUUUCUAUACCGCAUCUGUAUUGGUGGAGAACAAAAGGAUUACUUCCCUCUACAGCAACGUUCUUUCUGCAACGAUCAUGGAUGUAGAGCAGUGCAAAGCUUGCUAUAUCUAAAGUUUACAGGUAAAUAAUGAAUUGUGUACGUAGGUUUCUUGAAUUUUUGCUGCUUGGUACAUGUGUCUGUAAUCUAAAAUUUAAGAGAGCAAUAGAAUUCGUAUGAUGGUUUUGCCAUAUAUGAUGUGUGUAUCUUUGAUCCAUAUUUAAGUGUUUCUUACUUCAUGAGUAUUGUUUUGAAAUUCUCAAAAGAGGCUGAAAAUAUGGACAAAGAGAAAAAUGAGAUGAUUAAAAUAAUCUGUUGUUAGUCAAUAAGUAUUUGACUGCUGACCUAAAGGAUGAUUUGGGGUACAUUGAGGAUUUUGAGUUCUACUAGGAAUUUGAUUUUGUUACAUGUGAGAGGAUGGCAAGAUCAAAGUUUUUAGGUUGGAUGAUAAAAAAUGAAAAAAUGGGUCGGAAGUGACUAAUUUGGGUGAUAUGUUGUUCCUGGAAUUGUACAUGAAGCUUUUGUUUUGGAGAUGUUUGGGUAUAAUGGAUGUAAAGGUAAUUCUAUAUUUUUUUUUACAGAUGAGUUCUUUUGUGGUAGGAAAGAUGAUUGGGAGUCGAAGAGUCUUGGUAUCGGAGUGUUUUAUUUAGAGAGUGGGAGUAUUGGGCCAAUUAAUAGUCACGAUGGUUACUCCCCCAUGUUUUCAUUGCCACCUGCUUGGGUUUGUUCUAAUGUGUUAUGUUGAGGAAUUUAUAUGUUUUUUUCCUUUUCGUUUUUUAGGCUAAAUAUGUUUUAAAUAUACAUUCCAGUUAGUCAUUCUGGUCAUAUUUUAUUUCUGGUUGCUGCUAUAAUUUUACAGCUGCACAACAAAGCAUAGUUUAUGUUGAUAAAGUUGACAAAUCACCAAAAAGGUAUUCCGAAGCCUACUUUAGUAAAUAAAAUCUUGUAGUCAAGUGUUAAAAUCAUUUAUGUUAAUGCAAUUCAUUCCAUACUGUAUCUACAAUGUUAGCAAGAAUCCAAAUUUUUUUAUCUAACUUGGAUGCUAACAUGUUCACCCUAAGUAACUGUUUGAAAAUUCACAAAAAAAACCAAGGCUAGAGUGUAUAUAUAAUGCAGACGUAAGGCUAAAAAAUUUUUUAACCUUCAACUCAGCAUUUUAUGAAGAGAGGGAGAUACCCUUGCUUUUAAUGGGCUAACAGAAUGUUCUGAGUUCAAAAGACUUAUUUUUCUGAAUACUCUCUUUCUGCAUAUAAUGAACAUACCCAUAAAGUUUUUUCCUCUUCUGCAGUGUCUUUUAUGCCAUAUACAGUUGAGUAGGAAAACAAUGUAAUGUAUAUAAAUAAAGGACAUCCCUGAUCCUCUGUUUAUUAAAAUCCCUUAACCUAUGGAGGGGUAAAAGAAAAGAACAUAGCACAAAGGACACGGGUAGUGGGAAAAAGAGAGACCAGUCCACACCAUAAGAUUAUCAAUUAUUUCAUUGGGUAUGAAUUACCACAAUGUGUUUGUGUGUUUCUUCAUUAGUGUACUACACAAUUUUUCCAUUGAUUAUAUCCUUCUUCAUUUGAGUGCAAAAUUUAUGGCUGCUAGUGAAUGUUGAUUUGCCAUUGAGGAUGAAUCACCACAGAUUUGUUUGCGUGUUUCUUAAUUUGUUUUCUUUAUUGUUGAUUAUGGAUUAAAAUCACGAAACAAGUGAUGCCAACAAAAUUAUGAUAUACAUGAUCCUAAUAGAAUUAUGAGUUGCUUUUCAGAUUAUCCAUACAAGACACCUAACAUCAUGCAAAAAUAUAAAAAGCAAGUAGCGAUGAAUAGGACAAAAGAAAGUUGACAAUGGAAUUAGGAAGGAGUCACAAUUGCUUUUGGGAAUAUCUUUUAUUUUUUGAACUUUGCACUGAAUCUAAUAUACCAUCUGGUUAUUAACUCAAUGGCAUUAAGCAUUGCAGGUUUACGUUGUGCUUCUUUCUCCAGAGUAAUUUUAGUUGAGCUUUAUUCUAAUUUCUUCCACUCCAAGUAUAGCUCUUAGAGAAGUGCUGGGCUUUAUGCUAUUGAAAAGAAUUUUGAAUUUCAUAUUGAAAUUUUUUUUUUUAAUGAAACUUUCCUUUCUGAACCUGCAAAGUAUAAACUGCACAAGUCCACCAUCAAAAUUAUUACUCAAGACAAUUAAAUAUCAGGUCAAUGAUUCAAGGAAAAUUUACUUGAAAAUUGGCUCUUGAUCUACGAUUAUGCCUUUCUUUUUCUACACUGUAAUCUUAUGCGAGUUAUUUGUUAUGUGGCUAACCAAUGUCCGACUUCUAAAGUUGAUUCCAUGUAUAUAUGUAAAUCAUUUCUAUCGAAUGGUUUUGGUGAAUAAUGAGGUGCAGUUGUUAUUGCAUUUUAACCAAUAUAGAAUAUGAUUAUUUUCCUUUGGCUGUUUCAUAGAUUUCAACCAACAUAUAAUAUAUUUAUUUUCCUUUGACGAUUAUUCCACUUUAUGCUCACCAUCUGUAGGACUUGCUUUGUCCAAACAUCUUAGUAGUUUGUGUCAAAUAUAUUUAAUAAGACUCGAUGUCCCUUGAUGUGAGAGGUUUUCUCAUUAUAUAGAACUAAAUAUAAACUAAAUAUGGUAACAACAAUUUAUCUAUAUUUGGUACAAUUAUAAUAAUAAUAUAGUUGUAAUCUUCGAUAAUCUCCACAAUCUUAUUGACACCUCCUCUCAAAUUGAUGCUGUUAAAAGCAUCAAUUUGCAAUUAUGAACUGAAGACGGUGACAACACUCUUGCCCACGAAGAAGAAAUCUAAAUUAGAGCAACCAUCUACGAAUGUAAUGACGAGAGACCAAGAACAACAAAUAGUGCAGAAACAACUAAGAGCUAUUUCAAAAUCACUCUAAGAACACUCCAAAGAGCUCACUUUCUAAGAAGAAUUUUCAAAAGAAAUUCACAAAGUGUGUCGACACAUACAACAAGCUCUAUUGGUUGGGAGAACUUAGUUGAACACAUAAUUUGUGUUCCGACAAAAGCUCUAAUGCCAAUACAUUGGCAAAAAAUUCAGCAACAUAUCGCUGACGAGAUGCUGUAGUUGGAAGAAAUCCCACAAAACAGUGUUCAAAAAAAAAAAAAAAGAUCCUUUUUUGAGAAUUCAAAAACCACCCAAGGAUGAACCUCCUUCGAGAUUCCAAAACUCUAGCUCAUCAAUUGAGCAACCAAAAUACAAAGAUUUGCACUCCCAUGUCUCUCUCAAUCAUAUGACCCAUCAACAAGAUCCCUAAGUUCCUUAUUGGAAGCAAAUCAAGCCACAGUCCAGAGCUUACACAAAAUUAGCCUAGAAAGAGAAACCACAAUUUAUAAUCCAAUUGCUCAUAACCAUAAAUGUCCAUUAAAGUCUCCAAGACCUAACCUAUUCACUAAAAAUAACGAAGCCUAAAGUAGUAGGCUCUACCAACAAAUCUAUGACAAUAUUAAACACAACCCAGUAGUGCAUUAACUCAAAAUUUCAUAUAAAAUCCAGCCCACUACAAGCCCAAAAUUUAACUCCUCAUUUGAGGACCUUAAUCCAACAAUACAUAUACAAGCUCACUUAAAUACUAUUUAUCCAUUAUUCAUAACAGCAAACUAAUAUACAGGUCUAUUAUCAAAAUUAAUAAUAGAACCUUUGCCCAAUUUAAAUGCACAGUGUAGCCCAAUUGAGAUUCACGAGAUAGUUUGCCUCCACUUCACAGAAUAGCCCACAGAAGGCGAUCUGCAACACAAGAACAAUGAGUAUUGAAGUGUAAGAUGUUAAUGGGAUUGCAAUUACUUACUAAUUUCUGCAUUUGUAUCCAUGUAUCGCUGAAGAUUUUUGAACAAUAUGAAGUUGUAAGCUGAUGAAAGGAGAGUUAAAUUGUUCAUUAACUUCAACAACGUUGGUUUUUGCAUUGAUUGUCCAUUGGAUGUCACCAAGUUGGGCUCUAUAAUUUUUAUCCAUUUUUUUAGCUUGUGCAUUUGAGAUGAGGUAUGUUUUAUGUGGUAGUAAGGUGUCUUAGAAAGCUGUGAUGGAGUUAUCGAAUAAUGUAGUCUGAAUUUUGUUCCCCUGCAUAAAAAUUAAGUUAAAAGAUGUUAUGGUAAGAUUUUAAGAGAUAGGACAAAAAAGAAUUUUAAUGUAAGGGAAAUUUUUUUAGGAUUUAGAAAUGAGUAUUGAAUUGGAAUGUUAAUUUUAAAUGAAAUAGUGAUGUUUUGUGAUGUGUUAUAAUGCAUAUAUUAUGAAUGAAUUAAGGUUGAAACCUAAAGUUUUCGGUGGUGGAAUAUAUUCUUGUUGGUUAUGUAUAAAUCUAGAUGGGACCUUUUAUGAGUUCUUUUUUAUUAUACAUAGGGAUUACACAGAAUUUAAGUACAGGAACUAAAAGGAGCUAGAAAGCUAUUAUGUGAGGCAGAAAGUUGUCAAGCUCGAAAAGGGAAAAUGAAGUUUACUGUUUGAGAGUAUAGUGUACAAGAAACAAUAGAUUUGGAUAUAGAAUCCAUUAAAGAAAUUCAAAUGGUGUUCUUUUUUCAAAAGAAGGGAGCAUUUGUAUGUUUAGAAAUCCAAUGUUGUACAUCCUCUCAUUUAUAUAUUCUGGAAUGUGCUGCAUUUGAGAUUUCAAAAUAUUAGAACUUGAAUGAAUUAAAUUUAGUAAUCUUGUUUUUUUGAAUGGAAGAAAGAGUUUAAGAGGCCGUUAUGUGCAUUUGGUUUAGAAUAAAAAAUUGAUAAAAAGAUGUUUAAAGUUAAUGGUUUUGAUUUAUUGUGGAUCAAAGUUUCAAAUAAAGGAAACUACGUGAGAAGAUUUACCUAAGGAUCCGUUAACCAAAUGUGUUAUUAUUUCAAUGGACCGUUCCAAGCUUUGCUGGAGAGCAUUUUUUUGAAACUAUUGCCACCAUAGUCUACAAAAAAUGAUGAUUAUAUAUUCUAAAAGCAUCAUUAAGUAAAAAUUGAAAAUCAGCUAAGUGAAUGAUGAACUCUCUAGUCACCAAGAGCUCCUCUCUCUAGUAUCAUUCUUUGCUAAAUUGAAGAAAAAAUAUAUGAUCUGCAUCUUGAACUACAAAGAUAGACCUCUUCCCUCAAUCAACAAAUCAUACAUCAUUCUUAGAAGUCUUGAAAGCUUUGAGACCUCAUAUUCUGAAACACACAAAGACCUCCCGUACAUUUUCUGGUAUGCUUGAGGAAGUUUGAUUAGAGAUAAACUUUCCCCUAACAAUUUUCGCAACUUAACAAGUUGUCCUUUCAAAUCAUUUAGAUCUCUCGAGAUUGUACUUGGGGUCAACUCAUUACGCUCACUAGAAGCAAGGUUACCUGUUGAAGCUUUGCUCGGCGUACAUGUUGCUUUUUCUUCUUCAUUUGGAUGAAGUAUUGCUGUUUUAUCUUGGUGUGCAAACCCUUUCCCAGGGGGCCACAUUAGACCAGUCCUAUAGAUAGCGAUCUGCAUUCCUUAGUAUGGACGAGACUUUAAUCUAAGAUAGAAUAACAACGAUAAUUAUGUAUCCACAUUGACUUAGAAUAUGAAAUUCGGGAGCAAAAUCUACUUACCCGAGAUUAAUAAGAUAUAUGAUGGCUGGCGAUUGUCUAAAACAAAAAGGAACAUCUACCAAAAUUGCUUUGUCGGCAGUAUCCUUCCUCCCGUUGGGAACCUGUACAAGUUUGAUAUCGGUCACUUGACACCCCUCUUAUUCGCCUCGAAAUUGCAUUAAAAUUUUCGUAUGCUGAAAACACGGUUAUUGGUCCAUUAAUUGUGGGAUGGGCUUGUAAAUCCAUCAUGAUGUUACCAGCAAUAUUUUCUGGAUGCACAUCUUUUGGCAUUGAUAGUUUUCAAUGUCCCAAAGGAUGGUAAUAGGAUCGUGUAUUGACAAAAAUUUAAAAGAAACAAUCACUAAAAUAAUCAUGUAAUCUCAGCGGAUCAAAAAUAAUCCUCAUGUGACUUGAGAAAGUGAUGAGAAAUUGAUCUAAUAUAUAAUAUCUAGAUAUUUUCCAUUUUACCCUAGUUAGAUGGCACUGUAUAUUUUUAACACUUGAAUUGGAGCUCUGAUGAAUUUCUUAAUAUUGAUGGCAUUUUGAAGGAAUAUACCUUAGAACUGGAAGCAAAAAUCUCAAAGUUUAGAGAAAUGAACCAAGAGUUGCAGAAAAAUAGGCAUAUUAGUGAUACUAGUCAACGUGGACUUAUCAAGACGACCUUUAAUGAUAUUGAUAUAAAUUGUUAAAUGAUUAUUUUAAUGUCUAUUGCUUUUAAAUUUCUUUCCUGUUACCAUUAUUGGGGCAUUGAGAACUGCCCCAUGCCAAAAGGUGCGCAAGAAGAUAUUACUGGUAACAUUAGUGUAAACCCAUCCUACAAUUAAUGAACCAGUGACUGUAUUUUCAGCAUAUGAAGAUUUUAAUGCAAUUUCGAGACGAAUGAGAGGAGGGUGUUAGAUGUGUUGACAAGACAAUUUUGGUAGAUAUGUUCCUUUUUGCUUUGGACAAUCGCUAGCCAUCAUCUAUCUUGUUAAUUUUGGGGGAUAGAUUUUGAUUCUGCACUUCAUGUUCUAAGUCAACGUAGAUACACAAUUAUUGUUGUUAUUUCAUCUUAGGUAAAAGUCUUGUCCACUAUAAGGAAUGCAUGUAGCUAUCUAUGACGCUGGUCCAGCAAGGCUCUUGGGAAAGGAUUUGUGCACCUCGAUAAAGUAGCGAUAUUUCGUUCAAAUGAAGAAAUAAAAGCAAUGUGUACAGUAGAAAAAGUUUCAACAGAUACACUUAUUUCUAGUGAGCAUAAUGAAUUGUCCUCCUAGGUACAACCCCCUAGAGAUAUGAAUGAUUUGAAUGGACAACUUAUUAAGUUGCUAGAAUGGUCAUGUGAAGGUUCAUCUCUAAUCAAGCUUUCUCGAGCAUACCAAAAAAUGUACGGGGAGGUCUUUAUAUGUUUUAGAAUAUGAUGUGUCAAAAAUUUCAAAACUUCUAAGCAGGAUAGAUGAUUUGUUGAUUGCUGAGGAAAAAGACAGAUAGAUUUGUCUAUAUCUAUAAUUCAAGAUGCAGGCCAUAUAUUUCUUUUUCAGUUUUAGCAAAGAAUGAUACUAAUGAUUUUCACUUAACACCCUCCUCUCAUUCGUCUAGUGGGUUGAUCAUUCCACUAAACCGAUUUUCACUUAAUUAUGCUUUUGGAAUAUGUAGUCAUCAUUUUUUGUAGACUACGGUGGAUGUGAUAUUCACAAUGUAGUUUUCAGCAAGAAUGCGUACAUCUCACACAUAGAUAAUAAAUCAGAUCCUUUUUGAGCUAUUAACCCAGUAUUUCUGCUUUAAUUUAUCCUUUAGUUUAUAUUUCUUAGAUAUGAGAUGACUAGGGAGUCAUCAAUGCUAGUUUAUAUAAUAUCCUUGUUGACUGCUGUUUUUAAGCCUUAAGUUAAUUUUCUAGUGUCAUUUUGUGUUCAAAUUUUUAGUUUUCAACCGGUGCCUACGAUUUGUUUAAUGUUGCAGAACAUGUUAAAUUUCGUCUUCUCAUGUAAAUCAUCUACAUUUUCUACGUGUUGUGGUGUCAUUAAUAUAUGGUUUAAGUAGGAAUACUUUUCAGUUAUUAUUCUACGCACACACCGUCAUUAUUUGUGUUCACUAGCAUACCUCAAGGAGCUCUCUGAAUCGCAUGUAUUUCGUUUAUUUAUACUUGUUUAUGAUUUAAUUUCAAUUUUAGGCUCCAUUGCCAUUGAAUCAGAGAAAUUUGAGUUGUAUCUGGAGAGAGUUUUUUGCUAGCGUCUUUGGAUGAGUAAAGGGGCAAAAGCGAUGGGUUAUUUCAUGGAUGGAAUAGAGAUUGAUAAAAUUUUCACUGUCUUCCAUACCCGGCAUAAUUUGUUUAGAGUAUGUUGUUGAGACUUUCUCCAUAAAUGUUCAUUAUUACUGGGUAAUGAAACUCGUAUGAACUUAUUUAAUAAUUCUUUUGUUAUAUAAUCAUGAUCACCAUUAUUGUGAUGGAGCCAGAUUCUUUGCCAACUUUUUUAGAUGAAGAAGCAUUUACAUGUAUCGAGAGAGAGUUGGGACUUCCAUUCAAUUCUGUUUAUUCAUCAAUAUCUGCUUCUCCGAUUGCUACUACCACUCUGGGUGAAUUGUAUAAAGCUCAAUUGAAGUACUUUGGCUAGGUUGUUGUGAAGGUGUAAACACUUUGUAUUAAAAAAGCUACAGGGCUGGAUUUUUAUCUUAUAAAAGGUUUAGGCUUCCUCAUAGAUAAAUAUGUUGAAAUAAUUACAAGUGAUGUUGCUCUUAUUGAUGAAUCUGCUCAAAGAGUUUAACAAGAGCUCAAUUAUGUGCAGGUUAGUUUUUUAUAUUAUUUUGCAUUUACUACUGAAGGAUAUCAAUGUGGAGCACUUUUCUUA